rnacentral:rRNA from 1 species
GACGAACGCUGGCGGCGUGCUUAACACAUGCAAGUCGAGCGGUAAGGCCCUUCGGGUACGACGAGCGGCGAACGGGUAGAGUAACACGUGGGUGGACCUGCCUCUAGCUCUGGGAGUAAGCCUGGGAAACGUAGGGUCGUAAUACCGGAUAUGACUCCACGGCGCAUGUUGUGGGGUGGAAAGCCUUGUGUGGCUAGAGAUGGG